AACGAACGCUGGCGGCAUGCCUAACACAUGCAAGUCGAACGCGUGGCUUCGGCCACGAGUGGCGCACGGGUGAGUAACGCGUGGGAACCUGCCCAUCGGUACGGAACAACCGCGGGAAACUGCGGCUGAUACCGUAUAUACCCUGCGGGGAAAGAUUUAUCGCCGAUGGAGGGGCCCGCGUCGGAUUAGGUAGUUGGUGGGGUAACGGCCUACCAAGCCUGCGAUCCGUAGCUGGUCUGAGAGGAUGAUCAGCCACACUGGGACUGAGACACGGCCCAGACUCCUACGGGAGGCAGCAGUGGGGAAUAUUGGACAAUGGGGGCAACCCUGAUCCAGCAAUGCCGCGUGAGUGAAGAAGGCCUUAGGGUUGUAAAGCUCUUUCGGCGGGACGAUGAUGACGGUACCCGACAGAAGAAGCCCCGGCUAACUCCGUGCCAGCAGCCGCCGUAAU
rnacentral:rRNA from 1 species